rnacentral:lncRNA from 15 species
GCGUGUUGUAUUUAUGAGUGUAUAAGAAACAGACAAAACGAAGUCUGACAUGCUUUUUUAUUUUUUGUAUUACAGUUUCACAGAUAUUCUCAAGUAAAACAUCAAAAACCUACCUGAAGACUCUGCAGUGUUUUAUCGAGAAACUGUUUAACUAUCUGCCAAGCUAGAAGUCAGCCGCAUUCUUGCAAGGGCAGAAUAGUGAAAAGACUUAUUCCUGACGGGUUACCUACAGAGAAGUGGAUCUUCGUGGAAAUACACAGUCACCAUCUGACGUUAAAGCUGCAAGAUGAACAAUGAUGAAAACAUAUUUGAGACAAGAUCAGUGUGUUCCAACUCCUCACGUGGCAGUCAGCGUUCUUCAGCCAGUGUCAUUGCAGCCAGGGCGCGUGCAAAAGCAGAGGCUGCGCGUGCAAAGGCAUCGUUCGCACAAAAGGAAGCGGACAUGAUGAAAGCUCAGGCAUAUGUUGAAGAGCAACAACAAAAGGCUGUAGCUGAGGCUGCAAGAAAGAAAGCAGAGCUAGAAGCCAGUCUGCACACACUGAAACUAGAGAGUGAGGCUGCAGCUGCCAUCGCUGAAGCUAAUGUUUUGGAAGAAGCUGCUGAGAAUGAGAGUGGAGAGCUAGAUAGUGCUAGCCUAAAAAAUGAAUAUGCUGAACGUAGGUACAUUGAGAAUCCGAGACCUGAGCCUCACCAAGACUCAAAGCCACCGGAACCCACAGCAACACCAAUGCGCCAGCCAACAAUGGACAACGGUGAGACAGCUGAAAACAACAUGGAGGAAGGUAAAGACGAGUCAAGCGAGGUCAGCAACUAUGAACUCAGCUACCAUGACCUACCUGCUCAUCCAACGUUCGAACAGGAGGAUGAUUCCACUCCAUAUCAUCCUCCCGAUCACACUCAAAGUGUAUCCAGAACUGACGCUCACAUUCAAUGUGUAUCCAAAAUUGACUCCCUGAAACGAGAGCGCCCGCACAGUUCAAAUCCACGCAGUUACAGCCAUCGGACGCAAUCACACAACAUAAGACAAACCAGCAGUAGCUACCAACCUCCUCACUCGCAUACUGGUGUCACUCCCAGAACCAACGAACCCAGUUCAUCAUCUACAACUGAUCUGGCCAAGUACUUAAUUCGUCGAGAGAUGAUAAGCUCUGGUCUGUUGAGGUUCGACGACCAUCCCGAAAAUUAUUGGACCUGGAAGGAAUCCUUUCACAGUUGUACAGUGGGUUUAAACCUGACAGCGAGGGAGGAGCUUGAUCUGCUGUGUAAAUGGCUUGGACCAAAAUCAUCCGAACAUGCAAAGAGAAUACGGGCAGUUCACAUCCACGAUGCAGCAGCAGGUGUGAAUAUGGUAUGGCAAAGGUUGGAAGACUGCUAUGGAUCUCCCGAAGCUAUAGAAAAUGCACUCCUCAAGAAGGUGGACGAGUUUCCAAGAAUCUCAAAUCGAGAAAAUCAAAGACUAAGAGAGUUGGGAGACCUUCUCUUGGAGCUUGAAGCGGCCAGGAUGGAUGGAUUUCUGCCUGGUCUCAAUUACUUGGACACUUCUCGUGGCAUUACUCCAAUCGUCCAGAAGCUGCCAUAUUCCCUGCAUGACAAGUGGAUCUCUGUAGCAUCACGUUACAAAGAGAAAUAUCACACAUCAUACCCACCUUUCUCCUUCUUUGCUAAGUUUGUCUGUGAUCAAGCCAAAACACUCAACGAUCCGAGCUUUGCCCCACUCACAGGUGGUACGAGCAUGGGAAAGGUGGAGCAGUCCUUUAAACACAGCUCAAAAAAUUUCAAGACAGUUUCUGUCAAAAAGACAGAGGUCUCAGCGAACUCCGAUGGCAACUACAACAGUCCUCCAGAGAAAAUGAUGGUUGACCCAGAUAAGCACUGUCCACUCCACAACAAACCACACCCCCUUAGAAAGUGUUGCGGUUUCAGGAGCAAAACUUUGGAUGAGAAGAAAGCUUAUCUUAAAGAGAAGAAUAUUUGCUAUAGGUGUUGUGCAUCAACCAGCCACCUAGCUAAAGACUGUGAGAAAAACGUUCAGUGCAGAGAAUGCAGGAGCGACA